rnacentral:pre_miRNA from 1 species
CAAGUACUCCCUCCGUUCGAAAUUACUUGUCGCGGAAAUGGAUGUAUCUAGACGUAUUUUAGUUCUAGAUACAUCCAUUUUCGAGACAAGUAAUUCCAAACGGAGGGAGUAUGUU